UACGUAGGGGGCAAGCGUUGUCCGGAAUCAUUGGGCGUAAAGCGCGCGUAGGCGGCCCGGGUAAGUCCGCUCUGAAAGUCCAGGGCUCAACCCUGGAAAGCGGGUGGAUACUGCCGGGCUAGAGUCCGGAAGAGGCGAGUGGAAUUCCUGGUGUAGCGGUGGAAUGCGUAGAUAUCUGGAGGAACACCGGUGGCGAAGGCGGCAUCCUGGACCGAUACUGACGCUGAGGAGCGAAAGCCAGGGGAGCAAACGGG
rnacentral:rRNA from 1 species